rnacentral:rRNA from 1 species
AGAGCGAACGCUGGCGGCAUGCUUAACACAUGCAAGUCGCACGGUUGGGGCAACCCAACAGUGGCGCACGGGUGAGUAACACGUGACUAACCUACCUUCGAGUGGGGAAUAACCUGGGGAAACCCGGGCUAAUACCGCAUAAUACCUUCGGGUCAAAGGAGCAAUUCGCUUAAGGAGGGGGUCGCGGCCGAUUAGUUAGUUGGCGGGGUAAUGGCCCACCAAGACUGUGAUCGGUAUCC